GAUGAACGCUGACAGCAUGCUUAACACAUGCAAGUCGAUGGGGAAGUGGUGCUUGCACCCUGGUAACCAUGGCGGACGGGUGAGUAACGCGUAAGGAACUUGCCUGCGGGACUGGGAUAACAGCAGGAAACUGCUGAUAAUACCGGAUAAGGUCAUUAAGCUGCAUAGCUUAGUGAUGAAAGGAGACGCCUGCGGAGAGCCUUGCGUCCUAUUAGCUAGUUGGAGGGGUAACGGCCCACCAAGGCGAAGAUAGGUAGCCGGCCUGAGAGGGUGGACGGCCACAAGGGGACUGAGAUACGGCACUUACGCCUACGGGAGGCAGCAGUGGGGAAUAGUGGACAAUGGGGGCAACACUGAUCCAGCAAUUCUGUGUGCACGAAGACGGUUUUCGGAGUGUAAAGUGCUUUCAGCAGGGAAGAAGGAAGUGACGGUACCUGCAGAAGAAGCGACGGCUAAAUACGUG
rnacentral:rRNA from 1 species